UGAGCUUGAUCCUGGCUCAGGAUGAACGCUAGCGGCAGGCUUAACACAUGCAAGUCGAGGGGUAUAGUUCUUCGGAGCUAGAGACCGGCGCACGGGUGCGUAACGCGUAUGCAAUCUACCUUUUACAGAGGGAUAGCCCAGAGAAAUUUGGAUUAAUACCUCAUAGCAUAGCAGCUUCGCAUGAAGCCACUAUUAAAGUCACAACGGUAAAAGAUGAGCAUGCGUCCCAUUAGCUAGUUGGUAAGGUAACGGCUUACCAAGGCUACGAUGGGUAGGGGUCCUGAGAGGGAGAUCCCCCACACUGGUACUGAGACACGGACCAGACUCCUACGGGAGGCAGCAGUGAGGAAUAUUGGACAAUGGGCGCAAGCCUGAUCCAGCCAUGCCGCGUGCAGGAUGACGGUCCUAUGGAUUGUAAACUGCUUUUGUACGAGAAGAAACACUCCUAUGUAUAGGAGCUGACGGUAUCGUAGA
rnacentral:rRNA from 1 species